GACGAAGGGGGCUAGCGUUGUUCGGAAUUACUGGGCUUAAAGCGCGUGUAGGCGGUUGUCCAAGUUGGAUGUGAAAGCCUUGAGCUCAACUCAAGAAAUGCAUUCAGGACUGGAUGACUAGAGGACCGGAGAGGAUAGUGGAAUUCCCAGUGUAGUGGUGAAAUACGUAGAGAUUGGGAAGAACACCAGUGGCGAAGGCGGCUAUCUGGACGGUUUCUGACGCUAAGACGCGAAAGCGUGGGGAGCAAACAGG
rnacentral:rRNA from 1 species